UUCUUCAACUCCUCCCUCCCAAAACCCUUCCUCUAGGGUUUCUCUGUCUUGGAACCAUAUCUCUCAGUCUCGAUAGUAUCCGCCGUGAUCUUUUUGCGUAGUCGUAAGCAAUGAAGAUUAAGACGUUAUCGAGAUCGGUUGAUGAAUACACUCGAGAAAGAAGUCAGGAUCUUCAGAGGGUCUUUCACAACUUUGACCCAAGUCUUCGACCUAUGGAGAAGGCUGUGGAAUACAAGAGAGCUCUUACUGCUGCCAAAUUAGAAAAGAUAUUUGCAAGGCCUUUUGUAGGAGCAAUGGAUGGUCAUCGUGAUGGAGUCUCGUGUAUGGCUA